UACGUAGGGGGCAAGCGUUGUCCGGAUUUAUUGGGCGUAAAGAGCGUGUAGGCGGCUAGGUAGGUCCGUUGUGAAAACUCGAGGCUCAACCUCGAGCUGUCGAUGAAAACCAUCUGGCUAGAGUCCGGAAGAGGAGAGUGGAAUUCCUGGUGUAGCGGUGAAAUGCGCAGAUAUCAGGAAGAACACCCGUGGCGAAGGCGGCUCUCUGGUACGUGACUGACGCUGAGACGCGAAAGCGUGGGGAGCGAACAGG
rnacentral:rRNA from 1 species